rnacentral:rRNA from 1 species
UACGGGGGGGGGCAAGCGUUGUUCGGAAUUACUGGGCGUAAAGGGUUCGUAGGUGGCCAACUAAGUCAGACGUGAAAUCCCUCAGCUUAACUGGGGAACUGCGUCUGAUACUGGAUGGCUUGAAUUCGGGAGAGGGAUGCAGAAUUCCAGGUGUAGCGGUGAAAUGCGUAGAUAUCUGGAGGAAUACCGGUGGCGAAGGCGGCAUCCUGGACCGACAUUGACGCUGAUGAGCGAAAGCUAGGGGAGCAAAC